rnacentral:rRNA from 1 species
AUUGAACGCUGGCGGCAGGCCUAACACAUGCAAGUCGAGCGGAUGAAGGGUGCUUGCUCCUGGAGUCAGCGGCGGACGGGUGAGUAAUGCCUAUGAAUCUGCCUCGUAGUGGUGGAUAACGUCCGGAAACGGGUGCUAAUACUGCAGACGUCCUGAGGGAGAAAGUGGGGGAGCUUUGGACCUCUUGCUAGCAGAUGAGCGUAGGUCGGAUUAGAUAGUUGGUGGGGUAAAGGCCUACCAAGGCGACGAUCCGUAACUGGUCUGAGAGGAUGAGCAGUCACAUUGGAAGUGAGACACGGUCCAGGCUCCUACGGGAGGCAGCAGUGGGGAAUAUUGGACAGUGGGCGAAAGCAUGAUCCAGCCAUGCCGAGUGUGUGAAGAAGGUCUUCGGAUUGUGAAGCACUUUAAGUUGGGAGGAAGCGCAGUAAGUUAAUACCUUGCUGUUUUGACGCUACCAACAGAAUAAGCACCGGCUAACUUCGUG